rnacentral:lncRNA from 1 species
CACACAUGUUAAGGACCCUCAGCCCAGGGAGGUGGCUUUAAUCUUGGUUCUCCAGUGUCAGGAAGAGAUCCUUCAGUCAUGGGAGAACCUUUCUUGGCCGAGUUCGUAGUCAGAGGGAGAUGUGACUACAGAAGAAUGGUUGGACACGUGCAACACUGUGGGCUUUACAGAGGAAGGAAGGGGACAUGAGCCAAGGAACUCUGGCAGCCUCUAGAAGCUAAAAAAGGCAAGGAAACAGAUUCUCCCUUAAAGCUUCCAGAAAGGGACACA